rnacentral:rRNA from 1 species
CCCUUAGAUGUUCUGGGCCGCACGCGCGCUACACUGAUGCAUUCAACGAGUCUAAAACCUGGUCUGAUAGGGCUGGGUAAUCUUUUGAAAGUGCAUCGUGAUUGGGAUAGAUGAUUGCAAUUCUUCAUCUUCAACGAGGAAUGCCUAGUAAACGCAAGUCAUCAGCUUGCAUUGAUUACGUCCCUGUCCUUUGUACACACCGCCCGUCGCUCCUACCGAUUGAAUGAUCCGAUGAAUACCAUGGAUUGAGAGUACGAAUGGGUUCGCUCAUUUCUGCUGCUCGAGAAGUGGAGUAAAUCUUAUCAUUUAGAGGAAGGAGAAGUCGUAACA